CUUGAGGAAGAUUGCGAUGGAUUCCGGAGCACAUCAAACAAAUGAAUAUUCCAAGUUUGUAAGAAGCCCACUCUGGAUCCGAUUCCCCGCAGUCGGCGCAGCGGCCGUUCCCGGCGACCUUCAGCAGCUCCAGCAGCAGCGUCUUGUUGCGGUCGCGGUCCAUCACCGCCGCGGAGCGCUGCGGGUGGAGCCCGGCCGGAGGCUCGG
rnacentral:lncRNA from 1 species